GGCUACAUCACAUUGAGACACCGGUUUUCGUGCCAUCGUCGAAGUUAAGCAACGUCGAGCUAGGUCAGUACCUAGAUGAGUGACCGCUUCGGAAUAUCAGCUGUUGUAAG